rnacentral:lncRNA from 1 species
AAAAGCUUGCCAUUCCUUUGGAAUAAGCUGUCACUUUAGCAGUACUACUCUUCGGAUAUGCAAUCAACUGUUUGGAAAGAAGAGAUAAAAGUCAAAUUUUUACUAUACUAAAACAUAAGUCUCAAAAGAUGGAGUGGACAUACUUUACCCUAUUCCUCUCAUUAAGUACAGAUCAAAACCUCAGACAUUAUAUGUAAAAGAAACAUAAGAAGACUCUGAAAGUGGAGACAAGACUGGCUAGGGACCGUGGGACCAAAGAAUGACAGCAGUGUGUUUCCUGAGUUUCCCUUUUAUCUCAUAUAUCCUGGAUUGGGUGCUAAAGAAUCCAGCAACCCAGAAAUAUCAUCGGCUGCAGCUAAGAGAUUUUUCUCAUGAAAAGCCUGCUCUCUCUAACCAAAAGAGGACGAAAAGGGCGCCUAGCAAGACAGAAAACUUUUAGAUAAUAACAGCACAACUCCAGUCAAACAUUAAUGGAAAUGCAUAACGCAGUCUCCCUCCCAACCCCAUCAGCAAAGGCUAGACGGGAGCUUGGACUCCACCCUCAUUAGAUGGAAACAUGGUACCCAAAUUCCCCCACAUGAUAAUAUCAGAGAAGGUGGAGUAAGAAACCAAGACCUUCAUUCCUGUCCCAAGGUAACUCCUGUCACACCUUCGUAGUGUCAGUGGAGACCAUGCAGGCAAUCAAUCUACAUGCUGACCUGGCUGUUACAAGACACCCAGUUCCCUCCUUGCCAUGUUAGUGUCUGUAUUAGUCAGGGUUCUCUAGAGGCACAGAACGAAUAGGAUGAAUAUAUAAAAGAGAGUUUAUUAAGGAGUAUUAACUCACAUGAUCACAAGGUUCCACAAUAGGCCAUCUGCAAGCAAAGAGGCCAGUCUGAGUCCCAAAGCUGAAGAACUUGGAUUCUGAUGUUUGAGGACAGGAAGCAUUCAACACAGGAGAAAGAUGUAGGCUGGGAGGCUAAGCCAGUCUAGUCUCUCCACGUUCUUCUGCCCACUUUCUAUUCUGGCCGCACUGGCAGCUGAUUAGAUGGCACCCACCCAGAUUGACGGUGGGUCUGCCUCUCCCAGUACACUGCAUCAAAUACUAAUCUCCUUUGGCAGCACCCUCACAGACACACCCAGGAACAAUACUCUGCAUCCUUCAAUCCAAUCAAGUUGACAGUAUUAACCAUCACAGUGUCCAAAGAGAAUGAAUAGGAAAAAUAAAGGACAUUUAUGACCUCAAGCAAUAAUGAAGACUGCCUUGUCCUUCUGCCUAGUAUCAGUAGAGGUCAUGUGGUACAAAGUAACAAGGUACUUCUCCUCCUCCCAGAUAGGAUGAUGCCAUCAUAGACCUAGUGAGAGCCUAAACUCCCAUCCCUGCCGAUCAGUAACAAAGUACAACUUCCCCUUUGUGUAUCAGUGAAGGCCACACUUACCUGGCAGUAAUGAGGUAGCACUUCUGCCAGUGUGGUAUUAGAGGAGGCCUGCUGAAACAGAAGAUUUAAAUAAGAUCUGGAUUCUCAUAGCCUAAUACGCAAUAUGUCCAGAAUACAGUAGAAAUUUACUUAUCAUACCAAGAACCAGGACAAUCAAGUUGAAUGAGAAAAGACAAUCACUGCUCAACUGAAACGAAUCUCAGGGAUAUGCGAACCUGUAGCAAAGAAUCAAACACCUGUGUCAUUGGAGUCCCAUGAGAAGAUAAAGAAGGUGAGACUAAAACAGUACUUAAAACAAUGUCUGCAAAUUUACCAAUUUUGGCAAAAGGUACAAAUUACAGAUAUAAGAAGCUUAGUGUAAGCAUAAUAGAACUUGCGGCCCAUUUCUUUGCUGUCAAACUUUUCAUUAUCUCCUCAUUCAUGCAAAGAAGGAGGAGGUGAAGAAGAAAAAGAAAAAGAAGGAGAGCACAGAAGUAGGAGGAGGAAAAGGAGAUGAAGAAUAAGAAGCAGCAACAGUUUAGUGUACCUUAAACAGGAUGAACCCAACAAAUUCCAUGCCAAGACGCAUCAUAUCAUACCUAUGAAAACUAAAGCAUAAAAAAAUUGAAAGCAGCAAGAAGAACUACAUCCUACCUGUAGUUUGGAUAAUAGCAGAUUUAUCAUAAAAAUUAUGGAGGCUGGAAGAAAGUGGUAAAGAAAAAAACAAUCAACCUAGAAUCCAAUAUUCAGUGAAAAUAUCCUUCAGAAAUUAAGAAGAAAGCAAGGUAGUAUUAGAUAAAGAAAAACUAAGGGAAUUUCUAGCCAGCAGUGCUAUCCUUAAGGGAAAGGAAAGACUGAAGAAAGUUCUUAGAACAGAAAGAAAAUGAUUUAAUAAAAAGGAUCUUGAAAUAUCAGGGAGGAAAAACAGAGUAACAUAAAGAGUAAAAAUAUAUAUGGCAAUAUAAUAGGUUUUUUCUUAUCUUCUUUAGCGUUCUCAAUUACGUUUGAAGAAAAACUUUUAACACUAUGUGAAUUGGUUCUUUUUAAAUUUUUAACCUUUCUAGGUACAUAGUAGCUGUAUAUAUUAAUGGGGCACAUGAGAUAUUUUGAUACAGGCAUGCAAUGCAAAAUAAUCACAUCAGAGUAAAUGGAGUAUCUAUCAUUUAAAGCAUUUGUCAUCUCCUUCUGUUACAAACAAUCUAAUUACACUCUUUUAAUUAUUGUAAAAUUUACAAUAAAUUAUUGUUGACUGUAACCACCCUGUUGUGCUAUCAAAUACUAGAUCUUAUUCAUUCUAACUACAUUUUUGUACCCAUUAACCAUCCCCAUUUUCCCUCCUCCCCGCUACCCUUCCCAGCCUUUGGUAACCAUUAUUCUGCUCUCUAUCUCCAGGAGUUCAUUUUUUUUUUUUAAUUUUUAGCUUCCAUAAAUGAGUGCAAAACGUUAAGUUUGUCUUUCCAUGCCUGACUUGUUUCACUUAACAUAAUAUCUUCCAGUUCCAUCAUUGUUGCUGCAAAUGACAGGGUCUCAUUAAUUUUACAGCUGAAUAAUACGCCAUUGUGUAUAUCUACCACAUUUUCUUUAUCCAUCCAUCUUUUAUGGACACUUAGGUUGCUCCCAUAUCUUUACUAUUGUGAAUAGCGCUACAAUAAACACGAC